UUAUGGCCACAUCAUGUUGGAACACUGGUUCCCAUAUGAUCACCAAAGUUAAGCAAUGUCAAGCCUGGUCAGUAUCUAAAUGGAAGACCACUUGGGAAUACCAGGUGUCAU